rnacentral:rRNA from 1 species
UUUAUUGGGCGUAAAGAGAGUGCAGGCGGUUUUCUAAGUCUGAUGUGAAAGCCUUCGGCUUAACCGGAGAAGUGCAUCGGAAACUGGAUAACUUGAGUGCAGAAGAGGGUAGUGGAACUCCAUGUGUAGCGGUGGAAUGCGUAGAUAUAUGGAAGAACACCAGUGGCGAAGGCGGCUACCUGGUCUGCAACUGACGCUGAGACUCGAAAGCAUGGGUAGCGAACAGGAUUAGAUACCCUUGUA